rnacentral:rRNA from 1 species
UGGGGAAUAUUGGACAAUGGGCGAAAGCCUGAUCCAGCCAUGCCGCGUGUGUGAAGAAGGUCUUCGGAUUGUAAAGCACUUUAAGUUGGGAGGAAGGGCAUUAACCUAAUACGUUAGUGUUUUGACGUUACCGACAGAAUAAGCACCGGCUAACUCUGUGCCAGCAGCCGCGGUAAUACAGAGGGUGCAAGCGUUAAUCGGAAUUACUGGGCGUAAAGCGCGCGUAGGUGGUUUGUUAAGUUGGAUGUGAAAUCCCCGGGCUAAACCUGGGAACUGCAUUCAAAACUGACUGACUAGAGUAUGGUAGAGGGUGGUGGAAUUUCCUGUGUAGCGGUGAAAUGCGUAGAUAUAGGAAGGAACACCAGUGGCGAAGGCGACCACCUAGACUAAUACUGACACUGAGGUGCGAAAGCGUGGGGAGCAAACA